rnacentral:rRNA from 1 species
GACGAACGCUGGCGGCGUGCUUAACACAUGCAAGUCGAGCGGAGCGGCGAACGGGUGAGCAACGCGUUAGUAACUGCCCACCUCUCUGGGAUAACAGGUGGACACGGCUGCUAAUACCGGAUAGUGGGGGAUGACUCGCGCCCUAUCAGCUUGUUGGUGGGGUAGUGGCCUACCAAGGCGACGACGGGGAGCCGGCCUGAGAGGGCGACCGGCCAUAUUGGGAGCAGGUACGGGCCGAGGUGCAACGUGAGGCAGCAGGGGGGAAUAUUGCACACUGGGCGGAACCCUGAUGCAGCGACGCCGGGUGCGGGAUGACGGCCUUCGGGUUGUAAACGGCUUUCAGCCAUGACGCGGUAGUGGCAGAAGAAGCACCGGCUAACUACGUGCCAGCAGCCGCGGUAAUAC